rnacentral:rRNA from 1 species
AGCGAACGUUUGCGGCGGGCUUAACACAUGCAAGUCGAACGGGCUGUUCCUUCGGGGGCAGUCAGUGGCGCACGGGUGCGUAACACGUAGGUAAUCAACCCUCUGGUUGGGGAUAACACUUCGAAAGGAGUGCUAAUACCCGGUAUGGCGCAGCGGUCUUCGGAUCGCGGCGAGAAAGACCCGCAAGGGUUGCCAGAGGACGAGCCUGCGGCCCAUCAGCUAGUUGGCGAGGUAACGGCCCACCAAGGCGAAGACGGGUAGCUGGGUCUGAGAGGAUGAUCAGCCACACUGGAACUGAGACACGGUCCAGACUCCUACGGGAGGCAGCAGUGGGGAAUAUUGCGCAAUGGGCGAAAGCCUGACGCAGCCACGCCGCGUGAGCGAUGAAGGCCUU